rnacentral:rRNA from 1 species
CAGCAGCCACGGGAAUACGUAGGUGGUAAGCGUUGUCCGGAAUUAUUGGGCGUAAAGGGCUCGCAGGCGGUUUCUUAAGUCUGAUGUGAAAGCCCCCGGCUCAACCGGGGAGGGUCAUUGGAAACUGGGAAACUUGAGUGCAGAAGAGGAGAGUGGAAUUCCCCGUGUAGCGGUGAAAUGCGUAGAGAUGUGGAGGAACACCAGUGGCGAAGGCGACUCUCUGGUCUGUAACUGACGCUGAGGAGCGAAAGCGUGGGGAGCGAACAGGAUUAGAUACCCCCGUAGUCCCUGUCUCUUAUAC